UUAUCUGUGUCAAAGUGCAAGUCCUGAAACACUGCAGGCACUGGUGCCAUGGCUGGCUGGGAUCUAACAUAAUAUAAGAUUAUAAAUAUAAUAUAUAAUAAUUACUGUGGUAUAAUAAUACAGAACAAUAUAAUUUCUAAAAUCAGGACAGUAAAUAAAGAGCAACAGGGAAAUUCCAGAAAGGAAACAACCAGGGACAGGUAACAUCUCCCAACAAAGGAUUCCCCCAGGCAGGAAGCAGGAAGACUUUGAAGCUACAAGGCCAUUAAAUGUUAAUCAAGGUGGCUAAUUGCAGCAUUCAUACUUGCUGCACUGAGACUAUUAAUUGCUAUUCAACCUGGCCAACGAAGAAUUCCACAUGGUAGAAAACCCUCAGGUUUUGAAGCCAUGAGGCUAUUCCGUCCCAUUCAACCUGGCCAACGAAAGAUGCCCCUAUGUAGAAAGCGGCCAGGCUUGCAAGCAGCAAGGCUAUUCAGUGCUGUUCAACCUAGCCAACCAAGAUUUCCCCUAGAUAGAAAACCCUCAGGUUUUGAAGCCACGAGGCUAUUCAGUGUAAUUCAAAUUUAAAUGUUAGAAAUCAUAGCAUUUCAAAUAAGGCAUACUCAACCUGGGUUGCUGUGAGUUUUUCGGGCUGUAUGGCCAUGUUCCAGUAGCAUUCUCUCCUGACGUUUUGCCCGCACCUGUGGCUAAUGGCAUCCUCAGAGGUUUGUUCAGAGGUUUACAAUAUGUUUCAAUACUGUGUCCAAUUUUGGGCACCACAGUUGAAGGGAGAUGUUGACAAGCUGGAAAGCGUCCAGAGGAGGGCGACUAAAAUGAUUAAGGGUCUGGAGAACAAGCCCUAUGAGGAGCGGCUUAAAGAGCUGGGCAUGUUUAGCCUGCAGAAGAGAAGGCUGAGAAAUGGCUGAGAUGACAUAAUUUCAAUGUUAGGCCAGUGGAAGUGGCUACAUCUUUUUUCACCAUAUGGUUGCUUAGAUUAGAAGAAUGUGAGCAGCUGUAUCCAUUGUUCAUUUAACAUGAUGGUUUCCUUUUAUUCUUUUAACUUUUGCUAUAUGGUUAUGAUUCAUAGUUUCAGCUUGUUUCCAUGGUUUUACUUCUGCUGGCAAUGAGUUAGCUUCAGUCACCAUGCUACAAGGCAAGCCUCAUGGAAUGCUGUGGGAAUCUUGGGUAAAUAUGUUACAGGCAUCAUUUUGAUAGCUCAGUGAUACCCUACGCCAAUGGUUCCCAACUUUUUUUACUCUAAAAAGGAGCCCUUUUUAGAAUCAAUUUCUAUGGCAGAGCUUCUUAUGCCUAGCCUAUGUAUUACAACUUAAUGGUGUUUAGGAGUAGUUUAUGGGAGGGGGGAGCAGAAGAAUUGUGCUUCUAGUUGCCUUCAUUUGAAAUUAUAUGCUCACCCUAAUGGAAGCUAGGGCUGUUAAAGGGAUCCCAUACACUUUCAUGUAAUGUUUAGUGUGUUCCCUAUUCUCACUCUGUAUUAUAGAAUGGGUUAAAGAAAUAAAUUUGGAUGAUAAUUUCAGUAAAAAAUCUCCUCUAGUAUGUAAUGAUUUUAGACUUGAAACUUUAGAGAAACAUGUGGGCUGCAUCUAAGUGUGUGUGUGUUUUGUGAUUUAAACCAGCUACUUUGUGUUGUGCAUGCCAGUUCUGGGAUAUUUUUGAAAGUAGUUUGUAUCAUGGCUCUGAAGUGUAGAAUAGAGUAAGAUCAAAAAUAACGCAAAACUUGAUAUACCAUUCAAUUUUUAUUUAUUUUGUUUUCCUGGAGUGGCUGCAGAGUCCCUGGGAAAGGCAUGGUGAGCUAUCAGCACUCUGCGGAGCACAGAUUGGGAACCACUGCCCUAUAUUAAAGGUGAAUUCACAUUAGCAAUAUGUAUCAUGUAUUAUCCAAUCCUAGUCUGACUGUCAUUAGUACUACAUGAACACAGUAUAACACAAAGCUAACAUAUAUUGACAAAUACAACAGCUACCUCCAGAAAUUACUUUGGAACAAAAAGGAGUGUCCCAUCAUUUCCAUAUAAUUUCUACAUUGGGUUAUUCUACUGUGGACAAUUCCAUAAUUUAAAAAAGUGGUGAAAAGGUCAAUGAGACUAUAGUCAAGUCAAGUGAGACUAACAUCUCAAUAUGUGAUUGAACACUCAGGGGAAAUCAAAAACUGGGCACUGCAUUUGAAGAGAGAUGUUGACAAGCUGGAAAGCCAUAUAUUCCUGGACAAUUUUUUUUCCUAUUUGGGGUUGGAUUUCCCCCAAUCCUUCAUCCACUCCAUGUUGCUGAGGUUGAGGCUGGCUUUCUUUUUGUGAGAAGACUGAGGCAAAGAAGGCAUUAAAUAGUUCUGCCUUUUCCCUAUCCCCUGUCAGAAUUCCCCCAUCUUCUCCUCGCAGAGGUCCUAUCACCUCCUUGUUCUUCCGACGUAAGCAAAGA
rnacentral:lncRNA from 1 species